UACGGAGGGUGCAAGCGUUAUCCGGAUUCACUGGGUUUAAAGUGUGCGCAGGCGGCGUCGCAAGUCGAGUGUGAAAGCCCCGGGCUUAACUUGGGAAUUGCGCUCGAAACUACGGUGCUGGAGUAUGGCAGAGGAAGGUGGAAUUCCACGUGUAGCGGUGAAAUGCGUAGAGAUGUGGAGGAACACCGAUGGCGAAGGCAGCCUUCGUGGGCCAAUACUGACGCUCAUGCACGAAAGCGUGGGGAGCAAACAGG
rnacentral:rRNA from 1 species